rfam:Hordeum vulgare subsp. vulgare, WGS project CAJW01000000 data, contig: morex_contig_52462
AUACUUACCUGGACGGGGUCUAUGGCUGAUCAAGAAGAGCCAUGGCCUAGGCAAGUGGCCCACAUUGCACUUUGUGGGUGCGUUGGCUUACCAUCUCCCUUUUGAGGGAGAGUGGACGUCAUAAUUUGUGAUAGAGCGGGUACGCGUUCGCGCGGCCCCUAC